CCUCCCAAAGUGCUGGGAUUACUAGCGUGAGCCACUGCGCCCUUCCUGGAGACAAUAUAUUUAUUGUACUGUACAACAUUCUUCCCUCUGCUCCAGAAGAAGACACUGUUUCUAUCUUUCAACUGUUCAUGUACAUUUUUGAAAAGAGAAAAAAGGCUGUCCAUGCCUCUGCUCAGAAGACGCACAAAAAUAAGAAAGUCCCAUGGAGAAUUGUCUCUAAAGACUAAAAUCCGAGUCACCAACUUGUGCUGUUCCUUGAAUUACCCCACCACCAGUACGGUCCCACAAUUUUGGUCCUUCCUGAAUGGCUCUAAAUGCUGCUUUUCUGGUGGGGAUGUGCUUUUCUUUGUGCUUUUUAUUGCAGCCAGAUGAAUACCAGACAGAGUAGGCAGAGCUGGCAAAGUUGGUGAGAUACAAGGUAGUGUCUUUACAUGUUUUCUGGAGCAGUCCUCAAGCGCAUUGCCCCAGUUACCUUAGGAGAAAGGAGAGAGGAAUGGAAUAAGCAGGCUUUCACUAAAAGGCUUAAAUGGCUUUAUUGAUUCAGGGAGGAAACCUUCCUUUCCUACAGAAGCACUAGCAUUACACCAGUGUUGUUGGAGGCAGCAGGACUCCAUGGCUUGUGACUGUUAAGGCCGGGAGAGACCGUGCUAGCCGGAGGGCUGGCAGUCACACAGGAAUGUUGAGGAAGAAGAUGACAACCAACCGUCGCAUCAGGGACAAAGCAGGGGCUGGCAGGCAGCCACAACACCACACAGCAGAUGGGAGGACUGUAGACCAUGCAGCAUCUGUUUGGGAGUUUUCUUGUCACAAAAAUGGGAAAAGGAAGAGGAAACAGCAUGUGGGAAGAAACAGAGAUGGAUUAUACAUUCGGGGAACCCAAGUCAAUCAAUCAACAAAUAAUAUUGGGACAGCAGCACAUGUGAGGAGAGCAGAGGCUUGCAAUGUCGAAGAUGUGCAUUGAUUUUACUACCUGUGUGCUUUCAGAACCUUGUGCAGCCAGGGGAACAAACCCAGCCUAGGUGGGUAGGUGAUAACGGAUAUACAGCCUAGUUGCCUUUGUGGUCUCAGCUGACAGCCAGGCAACCCCCAGAAGCAAGGGUUCCCAGUGGGACUGGCAACUCCCUGCAAACGCAUGAGUAAGCCCAGCCCAGCCUACCAGAAGAAUUGCACAGUUGAUCCCAUUCAAUGUUUCUGACCCAUAGAAUUCUGAGCUAAAUAGAUGGUUAUUACUUUAAGCCACCAGGUUUUGGGGUGGUUUGUUAUGAAGCAAUAAGUCAUUGAUGCAGAAAGCCAUUGCAUGAAUGGAGUAGUUGCAGGCUUUGCAGAUUUGAGAGUGAAUGAAGUCACCAAAGAAGACAAAUGGAAAAGAACGCUGGUGUGUCAGUGAUGAGUAGAAAGCUCAGCUAUUUUGCCAGGUGGUUUUAGAAAACAAAAAAAUCUUCAGAUUUCAGGAAAUGAGGACUGUCUCAUCAUCUGAUCAAGGAACAAGUGCAAGCAUAGGAAGAAUGUGCUCGGAAUAAGAUGGUUUACAUGAGUCUUGGUGCUUCUUCAGGAAUCAUCAGCUGAUUUCAGCAGGCCCUGUGGACCUUAUCACCUGGAGGGAGCUCUGUGUGCUAAAAAGGAAUGAAUAGAGUAAGAUGCCUCCCUCCACCAUCUAACAAAAAAGGGCAAUAACUGAAC